UCACUAUAUAAUUUUCUUCCGCCUGUUAUCCCACGCCCUACUGAUUUUAAAUCUGUGCUAUCCUUUGUACAUACACCAUUUGUUGAUACUUUGUGUGCGUUUAUUGUAGAAAAUAACAUUAGACUAUAGAGUAAUGUCCUACUAACCUUUGUUGUGUUUUGUUCUAGGUAGAGCAACAGUUUCUUUCAAUAUCGGUAAAAAAAAAAAAAACUUUUUUCUUUUUAUUUAACUUGUACUUCCACAAUUAUUGAUAAAUAGCAAAGUCAGUCUUGUCAAUGUCCUAACUGAACAACAGACACUCACCGAACAUUGAAGCAUCUACUCUGAUACUGGCAAUUCCGCAAGGGUGCUAAAGCCAAAGAAGAAGAAGAAGAAGAAGCAAUCUUAUAUUAUAUUU